rnacentral:rRNA from 1 species
UGCAGAAUUCCGCGAAUCAUCGAGUCUUUGAACGCAAGUUGCGCCCGAGGCUUGUCCGAGGGCAUUUCCGCUAGAGCGUCAC